UACGUAGGUCCCGAGCGUUGUCCGGAUUUAUUGGGCGUAAAGCGAGCGCAGGUGGUUUAUUAAGUCUGGUGUAAAAGGCAGUGGCUCAACCAUUGUAUGCAUUGGAAACUGGUAGACUUGAGUGCAAGAGAGGAGAGUGGAAUUCCAUGUGUAGCGGUGAAAUGCGUAGAUAUAUGGAGGAACACCGGUGGCGAAAGCGGCUCUCUGGCCUGUAACUGACGCUGAGGUUCGAAAGCGUGGGUAGCAAACAGG
rnacentral:rRNA from 1 species